UCAUUACCGAGUGAGGGCCCUCUGGGUCCAACCUCCCACCCGUGUUUAUUUUACCUUGUUGCUUCGGCGAGCCUGCCUUUUGGCUGCCGGGGGACGUCUGUCCCCGGGUCCGCGCUCGCCGAAGACACCUUAGAACUCUGUCUGAAGAUUGUAGUCUGAGAUUAAAUAUAAAUUAUUUAAAACUUUCAACAACGGAUCUCUUGGUUCCGGCAUCGAUGAAAAACGCAGCGAAAUGCGAUACGUAAUGUGAAUUGCAAAAUUCAGUGAAUCAUCGAGUCUUUGAACGCACAUUGCGCCCUCUGGUAUUCCGGAGGGCAUGCCUGUCCGAGCGUCAUUGCUGCCCUCAAGCACGGCUUGUGUGUUGGGCUCCGUCCUCCUUCCGGGGGACGGGCCCGAAAGGCAGCGGCGGCACCGCGUCCGGUCCUCAAGCGUAUGGGGCUUUGUCACCCGCUUUGUAGGACUGGCCGGCGCCUGCCGAUCAACCAAACUUUUUUCCAGGUUGACCUCGGAUCAGGUAGGGAUACCCGCUGAACUUAAGCAUAUCAAUAAGCGGAGGA
rnacentral:rRNA from 1 species